rnacentral:tRNA from 1 species
GGGCGAGUGUUGAAAUUGGUAGACAACCGCGACUCAAAAUCGCGUGGUCGCAAGGCCGUGAGGGUUCGAGUCCCUCCUCGCCCA